GGGGAAAAAAAAAUCCGAGUGAUAAUUUCCAAAUCUCUCACUCUCUUAAGUUCUAAGAUAGAGAUGGCGCAAGUUAGCAUUUGCAGAGCUGUGGCUUUGGUUCUCUUCAUUGCAGCGCUUCUCUCAAUGACAGCUGUCGUCAGUGCACGGGAUGUCGACCUGGCGCCGUCGCCGAGCAUGGACGCCGGAGCUGCGUUCCCGGUGACUGUUUCCGCUGGCUUUGUUUGCUCCUCACUCUUCUUCUCAGUCAUUGCUCUACUAUUGCAGUAACAGGUUCUUGAGAGACUUGAGAGACUCAGAUUUUUAUUUUAUUUUAUAUUUAUAUUUAUUUUUAUUAUUAGGAUAUUUAUUAUUUUUGAAAAUUUUGGGUAUUUUUUUUUUUAAUUGCUAUUUGGUGGGAGUGCAUGUGUUUGAGUUGCUGAGAGUGAGAAUGUAUUAGUUUUAAUAAUGCAAUUAUUUUUUCCCCUAAUCUUUGGUUAGGGUUGUUUUUUCUUUUUAUUUUUUUUUAAUGGUCUUGAUAUUAUGUUCUAUUUUAAUUAUAAAAACUGGUAUUAUUAUUUAUCACCUUGCAUCUCUCUUUAAUAUUCAUCGGGCUUUAAACUUAAAAACUGCCAGAGAUCAUUUCUAUCAUAAGUAUUGUUAAUUUUGAAGUAUAUUAGUACAAAAACUAGCUGAAGGAAAUUGACUUUUAAAUAAGAAAAAAAAAUCUAUUUGGGUGGUUAAAAUCUAAUAAAGUUAAUUGAAAAUCUAUUGCAAAUUAAUAAUUCAAAAUCCGUGUCAUUAUUUUAAGCCAAAAAUUUCUCAAGAAAAAUUGACUUUAAAUAAGAAAAAAAUUCUAUUUAGGUGGUUAAAAUCUAAUAAAGUUAAUUAAAAAUCUAUCGCAAACUAAUAAUUCAAAAUCCGUGUCAUUAUUUUAAGCAAAAAAAUUUCUCAAGAAAAAUUGAACUGGGGAUAGUUUUAUGUAGUUUCGUACUUUCAAUUUCAAAUGGGCCGGUUUAAUAAUUAGACCAUUUACUUAAAAUCAUCAUACUUAUCUCGAAAUUCAUUUUUUUUUCCUCGCAUACUUUAUAUUAAUCAACAUAUAUAUAAAAAAUUUUAAUAGAAACACGAUGCUUUUCCAAAAUCCUCAUGGCAUACGAAGUCUUCAUCUCGAUUUGAUAUUCAACCAUAUCUGUUUUUUUUUUUUCUUUUCUUCAGGUUUCAUUUACCAUUAUAUUAUCCACUCGCAAAUGAGUGUUUGCAAAACCAACUAGGAAUAUGCAAAACCUGUGAGGUUGAUACAAAUUAAUUAACAAAUCUUGGUUUGCGGACAAUUGAUUUUAAUCAGUUCCCAACUCUUUUCAUUAUCUUCCGAAAGCAACUUGCAUCUGUUGAGGUUAACUGAUGAAGAAGAUACUCAAAAAUACAAACAAGAAAUUAAAAACAAAGGCAACAAGCAAGAGACAUGCAAAUUUAGAGGUGCCCUCUCUGUGUGGGGCUAAUGGUCAAUUUUGGAAUUAUCGUUCGAAUAGUCAAAAUUGAUUGUUUGAAAUUAACUACAAACGUGCUGUUCGGUAAAUUAUUUUAUUUGACUUCAUUCAGCCCGAGAUAUAUUAAUUUGGCACUUAAAAAUUAGGAAAAAAAAAAAGAAUAUUCUGGAUUAAACGAACUGGGAAAUUAAGAAGCUACACUUGUAAACCAAUUAUAUAGCCCGGAAAGACCUUGACUCCAAAAGAAAUCUACUUCAAUCUUUGGAAAAUUUUGAUACAAGUUCUAAACCAAUUAUAAGGACACUGACUUAUUGAGUCAUGAAUCAGUCUUCGUUUACUGAUUAUUUGAUUAUUUUUAUUGCCACAAUGACACAAAUUACGAAUUUAUAGAGUAGAAAAUAACUUGUCAUGAAUAGAAGAAGACCAUUUAUUUAUACAUGGAAUUAUGGAUUAAUAAAAGUCUUUGCUCCUCCAAAACCAAUUUUUAUUGAUUAUUUGAUUAUAUAUGUUGGACCAAAAAUAAAAUAAGCCUAAAAAGACCCAAAUAAAUUUAAUCUCAAUAAGGUUCAUCUAAUAAAUUUUCUCUCAAUUAAACUCAUAAGUGCUAGACAAAUCACCUAGAAUGAUCCUCCUAAGUAAUGAGAUUUCAAAACCCAAAAGAUGUCAAUAAUAAUAAUAGUAUUUAAUUUUUUUUUGGUGGAUUAUUUAUACCAAUUAUAAACUUAGAAUAAAAAAAUUGAAUGAAUUUAAAAUUUUAUAUUACUUUUGAUAACAAGAUAAAUAUAAAUAGAUGACUAAUAAUUUUUCUACAAUUAAUCCUAAUUCUUCAUUUUUGAAUUUGAGUGGCCAACAAAUAAAAUUAUUUGAAAACUACUCUAUCCUAAGAGUUAUUGGUAGAUGUGAUUGCUAACCACUAGAAAAAAAUAACAAAAAAGAAAUUUAAUUGAGGAAAAUCAAAUAUCUAAAAAGAUUUGUACCAAUCAUGUACACAAAUCAAACUCCCUCUGAAGGCCAGAGAAGACCUUGACUCACUAUUGUGUUUGAAAACGAGUGUUGCUAUUCAACGCGGGAAGAAGAUGAUUAUGGGCCUGCUCAUGGUGCCCUUUUCCUGGGUUAAAGUGUCUAUAUGAACUUUAUUAGAAUUUGCAGAAUCCAAUCAACCGAAAAAUUACAAUCAUGGAUCCGACUUCCUCCAUUUUCAGAUUGGCAGCCCUUUUAUGGGCUGUAAUAUUUACAUGCGAUAACGUUGCUGUUAGAACUGGUACAAUUGUCACAGCAUCUGCUUUGUCACCCAUACAGUUAGAAAAGAAAGCUUUAAUCAAUACUGGCUGGUGGAAAAGCACCAGGACGACGGCCAACUACUCUUCGGAUCAUUGCAAGUGGGAAGGCAUCACUUGCAAUUCAGCAGGAAGCAUAAUCGAGCUACACUUAUCAGGGGAUGAUGCUUACUACUUCAAUUGGCGGCUUGGCCAAUUAAACUUCUCUUGCUUUCCGAACCUCGUAAAUCUGACAAUCCAGUUAUUUGCUCUUACUGGAAGCAUACCACCAGAAAUUAGUGCUCUUUCAAAACUCCAACUGCUGGACUUGUCCUUCAACAGCCUUACAGGUAACAUACGAAAUUAACUUCAUUACCGCAUAAUUAACACGGUAGAUACACAUGUUUACCAUUGUUUUUGUUUUUUACUUAUGUUCUGUCAGCGUUUAAUUUCUUUAGCAUUUUUUUUCAUUAUUUUAGUAAACAAAUGACAUAAAUGUAUAUAAUAGGUACAAUCCCUUCAGAGAUUGGAAAUUUGAGGAAUCUUAUCAGUCUUGAUCUAUCUGUUAACAACCUUACCGGACCUGUUCCUUCAACUCUUGGUCGUUUAACGAAUUUGAAUUAUUUGAGCUUCUCUCGCAACAUGCUCCGUGGUCUACUACCACGGGAAAUUGGGAACCUGAAGAAUUUGAUCGAGUUGUAUGUGGGUGAUAGUAGCCUAAUUGGGCCAAUUCCUUCAACUCUAGGUCGUUUAACCAGCAUGAAAUAUUUGAUCCUUGCUGACAACCAACUCAGUGGGCUGCUACCUCAAGAAAUUGGGAAUAUGAGAAAUUUAAUCGAGUUGGACGUGGGCAACAACAGCAUAAUUGGGCCUAUUCCUUCAACUCUAGGUCGUUUAACCAGCUUGAAAUAUUUGAUCCUUGCUCACAACCAACUCAGUGGGCUGCUACCUCAGGAAAUUGGGAAUCUGAGAAAUUUAAUCAAGUUGGACGUGGGCAACAAUGGCAUAAUUGGGCAAAUUCCUUCAGCUCUAGGUCUUUUGACCAAUUUGAGCUAUGAGGAUCCUAGUUAUAACCAAUUCAACAGCUCAAUUCCAAAUGAGCUCGCCCGUUUAACUCAACUUCGUCAUCUUGAUCUUUCCUCAAAUAAACUUCUUGGAAAAAUUCCUCCAGAGAUAGAGAAUUUGAGGAAUCUCGUCCGUCUGAAUAUAUCUGAUAACGGACUUACAGGUAACCUACGAAAUUAACUUCAUUACCGCAUAUUAAUUGAAAAAAUGAUAAUAAUAAUUAACACGGUAAAUACAUCUGUUUGCCGUUGUUUUUACUUAUGUUCUGUCAGCGUUUAAUUUCUUUAACAUUUUUUUUCAUUAUUUUCGUAAACAAAUAACAUAAAUGUAUUUAAUAGGUACAAUCCCUUCAGAGAUUGGAAAUUUGAGGAAUCUUAUCAAUCUUGAUCUAUCUACUAACAACCUUACCGGACCUGUUCCUUCAACUCUUGGUUGUUUAACCAAAUUGAAUUAUAUGAGCCUCUCUGGCAACAUGCUCGGUGGUAUACUGCCUCAGGAAAUUGGGAACCUGAAGAAUUUGAUCGAGCUGGACGUGGGCAGUAACAGCCUAAUUGGACCGAUUCCUUCAACUCUAGGUCUUUUGACCGAUGUGAGCUAUUUGGAUCUUAGUCGUAACCAAUUCAACAGCUCAAUUCCAAAUGAGCUCACCUGGCUAACUGGACUUCUUGGUCUUAAUCUUUCCUCAAAUAAACUUUCUGGAAAAAUUCCUUCACAAAUAGCAAGUAUGGAGUAUCUAACCUCGUUGGACCUAUCAAAUAACAACAUAAAAGGUUCAAUUCCCGGUGAGAUCACUAUGUUAUCUCGACUUGAUUAUCUAAAUCUUUCCUCUAACAAACUUUCUGGGCCAAUACCAUUUUCAAAUGAACAACUCUCAAGCAUGCAUUCCGUAAGCCUCUCUCCUAACAAGGGUUUAUGCGGCGGCAAUUUUCUUCAUCUUCCUUCAUGCGAUACAACCAAACCUACCACUCUCUUUGUUGAAAUUUUUCUUCCCCUCGCCAUAGUUCCCUCAGUUAUAGUCUUUGCAUGCUUACUAGUCGUCAAACGUAAGUACAAGAAACCCAAAGUCAAGGCAAGAGCAACCAAUAGCAUAGAUGUAUUUUCAAUAUGGAAUUAUGAUGGUAGAAUUGUCUACGAGGAUCUGAUUGAAGCCACGGAAGAUUUUGACAUUAAAUAUUGCAUUGGUACCGGGGCUAUGGCAGCGUCUACAAGGCACAGCUUCCCAACGGCAAGGUAUUUGCAUUGAAAAAGCUUCACACUUCAGAAACAGAGGAAUUGGCAUUCAUCAAGAGUUUCCGAAACGAGGCUCAAGUACUUUCUCAAGUACUGCACCGUAAUAUUGUCAAAUUAUACGGUUUUUGCUUGCACAGAAAAUGCAUGUUUCUCAUUUACGAGUACAUGGAGAGAGGAAGCUUAUUCUGCAUUUUACACAAUGAUGAUGAAGCCGUAGAGUUGGAUUGGGCUAAGAGGGUGAACAUUGUAAAAGCCAUGGCACAUGCUUUGGCAUACUUGCAUCAUGACUGCUCACCAUCAAUUGUUCACCGCGACAUAUCGAGCAACAACAUUCUACUUAACUCAAAAUUGGAGGCAUUUGUUGCUGACUUUGGCACUGCCAGGCUUCUAUAUGCUGAUUCGCCCAAUCAAACUCUUUUAGCAGGAACAUAUGGAUAUAUAGCUCCAGGUUUACCCUUAUGAUAUCUAUUCUUCUCAUGAUCGAUCCUUUAUUUGGUUCAAUUUUAUUUUUUUUCCUUUAUAUUGCAGUCAUAUCAGUAACAUCUCUCUUAAAUAGAUAGCCAGCUGGCUAGAGAAACUCACAAAUGGAAUUAUCUCCUUUAUUAGUGGGAAGCUACAUUCUAUGAUUACUUUGCCUCGUAUAAGUCUUUUUUUUUUCUUUUUUUUUCUUUCUGCAGAACUUGCUUACACCAUGGUUAUGACGGAGAAAUGUGAUGUUUAUAGCUUUGGAGUAGUGACACUUGAAGUAUUAAUGGGAAAGCAUCCAAGGGACCUUCUUUCAUCAUUAUCAUCAUCAUCUGAUCCAAAGAUCAUGCUGAUUGAUAUUUUAGACCAACGUCUUCCACCUCCAGUUGAUCGAAAGGUUAUUCGAGAUAUCCUUCUUGUUUCAACAGUUUCAUUUGCAUGCUUGCAAUCAAACCCAAAGUCUCGACCUACAAUGCAGUCCCUAUCUCAAGAAUUUCUCAUCACUCGCAAGACUCCAUGGGUAAAGCAUGCUGCUAUUCAAGAUAUUUCCAUCUCACAACUUAGAAACUAAUAAAAGGAUGUAUUUGAUUGAUCAAUGUGAUUUGCUAAUCUUAAAUGUAUUUCAUUGAUGGUAUUUUGCUAAUCUUAAACCAACUUGGAGAGGUUGCACUUAUGUAAUAUCUCAAAAAAAAAAAAAGGAUAAUUGUUGUUGACACCAAAAGUAGUCUCUACUUCAAUCUUUGGAAAAUUUUGAUACAAGUUCUCAAUUUUCCACAAGAUAAUUGUUGUUGGUGGUGUCUGGCUCGUUUUAGAAAUUGUUAGAAAUUGUAUAACCGUACCAUAACAACUUGAGUCAUGAAUGGAAGACCGUUGAUUUGUACAUGGAAUUAUGGAUUAAUAAAAGUCUGUGUGGCUCCAAAACCAUUUUUUUUUAUUAUUUGAUUAUUUUUAUCGGCAGAAUGACACAAAAUAUAAAUUUAUAGGGUAGAAAAUAACAAAACAAAUAAAAAUAUUAUAGUACUAAUUAUUUUACAAUGGUAAUUCUGUCAAUUUGAUAGAUAAUUGAUACAAAUAGUAAACUUAAGGUGAAAAAUAAAAAAUUAAAUAAAUUUAAAUUUUCAAAGUAUUUUUUCUGUGUGAAUUGCAAGUGCAAAUAAGGUCAGCAAGUUUUGCUAUUGUGCUUAGGAAAUCUUCUUCCAUCCACAUUAUUUUUAUAAAUUAAUAUCGUGUGCAAUAAUUGUUGUAACUCAUGAGUUCUCCGAACUGUAAAUCAAAGUGGGAAUAUUCCCAUAUUGUGGCAUGACAUGGGCUUUUCUUCUCAAUCAAAUUUAAAAAAAAAAAAAAUUGGAUUCUCUAUUUCACUAUUUAAUUAAGUAGACUGCAGAUAUAAAUGUAGACAAAUUAUUAGCCUUACUUCACAGAAGUUUCAUUGCUUGUCGUUUUGCAUUCGCACAUUAGAGUGAUCAAUUGAAUUGGAACCGCAGUGUUGAAGUUGAUAUGGUAAAAGCGAAAAUGACUAGAUGUUCCGCAAAGUCUAAAAUUCAAGAAAUUGAAGCACCAAUCAAGUGAUCAAAUUCUGUCAUGUAAUUAAUUAUCAUCAGUUGGCUUGAAGGUCAUCAAGAAGGUAUUGGAUUGACAAAUUAAAUUACAUUGCCCUUUCAUUUCAUAAAUGGUAAAGAAAUAUAAUAUAAGACUUAGGUCAUGUUCAGUAUUUAGGUAUUGUAAUUUCUAAGUUAUAAUUAUUGUGAAACAAAAGCUGUAACGAUAAAUUAAAAGGUGGGAGUGUAUAAUCAAUAUAACUUUUAACUAAUAAUUUUGACAAAAAAAAAUUAUAAAAAUAUUAUAGGCUUCUCAUCAUAUAAGUGUGGGAUCAAAUCAACUUAACUUUUAUACCACAAUUGACAUUACUUACUAUAUAAUUUUGUGGUAUAACUUAAAAAAUUAUAACUACCUAACAUCGAUACCAAACAAGACCUUAGUCUGCAAGCAUCUAUCAUUCCUUCCUUGUUUUAAAAUACUAGUCGUAUUAAGUCGUGAACUUGAAAUCAAUCUAACGGUACAAAGUUUUUUCCAAGUUCCAUUAGCACCAAAUUUUCCUUUGCUUCCUCUGUUUCCUCAGCUAAACGCCACUAAAGAUAUCAAAAUUAUUGCUUGUUUGUUUAUGGAUUUUAGCUAUCGGUAUGAUACAUCCGCUGAGACCUCGGGUGCAUUUUUUCCUGCUCAAAUACCGAAUAGUCACUAACCAACCAAUAUGAAUUCUUGAAAAAGAACCAUAAAAAAAAAAUGAUUCUUUUAUUCAUAUUUCUCCAGAGAGAAAGAAGAAACAAUAAUUAAGAGCUGAAAUUAAGAAAAAAAACAAGAAUCUUUUGGAUUAAACGAACUUGGAAAGAAGCUACACUUGUAGACAAAUUAUAUGGCCCCGAAAGACCUUGACUCCAAAAGAAAUCUACUUCAAUCUUUGAAAAAUUUUGAUACAAGUUCUAAAUUUUCCACAAGAUAUCCCAAAAUGUAAUUUUCAAACAAUUGCUGUCGCUCAUUUUAGACGUUUAGGAAUUGUUAGAACUUGUAUAAGGACAAUGACUUGACUCAUGAAUAAAAGACCAUCGAUAGAUUAAUAAAAGUCUGCGUGUGGCUCCAAAAAAAUAAAAAUUAUAUAUACAUAUAUAUAUAUAUAUUAAAGCAAAAGAAAAUGUGUAAUUUUUGGUGGAUUAUUUUUAUUUUAUAAAUAAAUUUAAUGUAUAAAUAAAUUAAAUCGCAAAAAUGAAAAAAUACUGUUGGAUAAAAUAUAAUUACCAAAGUGCAGAUUUAUGAGACCAUGAUGGAAUGGAUAUUUUACAUUUAGAUGAAAAAUUAGGGGUAUUAUUGGUAUUAAGAGUUAGGUAUCUAAACAAAUCCGUUGAAGAUGUGCGCGGAGUGAUGUAACAGGAAUUAAAAACGUGACAGUUGACAGUUACCAACUGAUUGAAACUAUUAAAAUGACUCAUUUAUAACUGAAAAUGGCCGCUCAACUAAUUUGAUAACAAACCAUGGUUAUCAAAUUAUAUAGCCCGGAAAUCUACUUCAAUCUUUGGAAAAUUUUUAUACAAGUUCUAAUUUUUCCACAAGAUAUCCCAAAAUGUAAUUAAUAAAAGUCUGUGCCGCUCCCAAAACCAAUUUUUACUGAUUAUUUGAUUACUUUUAUUGCCAGAAUGACACAAAUUACAAAUUUAUAGGGUAGAAAAUAACAAAACAGAAGCAAAAUAUAUAUAUAUAUAUAUUAUAGCACUAGUUAUUUUACAAGGGUAAUUCUGUCAAUUUGAUUGAUAAUUGAUACAAUAAAGUUAAGGUGAAAAAUUAAAAAAAUUAAAAUUUUUGAAGUAUCUUUUACAAUAAAGCAAGCUUAAGGUCGAUAAUCGAUAAUUUUCCUAUCAUUGCUAACUUAUGUUUUGGUAAUUUUAGAAGUUACGUCGCAGUGCAUCAUGCGCCAACUUUUGCUUCAAUUGAGGCAUUAAAUAUUUUUUAUUAUUAUUUAAUUUUUACUAUAAAACAAUGGCCCAACACUCGGCAUGUCAAAAACAAAAACGGUUCACGUUCUUGGACACACGCUGGUGCCGCAUCAGUUGGGUCAUUGCAUUUCGAGUCUUUGGUAGACAUUAUUCGUUUAUGCUGGGGCCAGUUUUUCAUUUAACUACAAAAUUACUUUUAUGGAAACCCAUAAAAUAAUUUUGUUUAUUAAUUAAUUAUAUUACAUUUUCAACGAUUAUCAAAUUCUCAUUCGAGUUCAUUAUUUAAGUGGCAAUGCGUUAUCUAAAUAAUCUCAAAUGAUGUAUUAAACAAAUAUUUUGAGGAACAAAGCUUAUUAUGUUUCUUCUUAUUAGUUGUAUUUUUAAUUUUUUAUUAAAAAAAUUCUCUCAUAUUCGAUUAAAAAAAAAAUUUUCAGCCACCCGCAUAAAGGUUGUUAGCUUCGCGGUUGAAUGGGGCUAAAUUAUGUAUUGUUUGACUAGUGAAACUCUUACCACAUCGGCUAAUAGGCUGCUUUUGGAUCCCUUAUUCUAACUUUUAUCAUGACUUGGCACUUGGCAGUGGUGACAGCAGAGCUUGUUCAUAUUGGUAGAAGUGAAAGCAAAUUAAGGAGAGACAGAGAGACUAAUUAAGGUAACUAAAUACAUACGUCCACUAAGUUUAAUAUAGCGAAGUCCUGGAUCAGUCGCUUUGCUGAAAUGAUUUCAAAUAAUCGCCCACUGUGAUUGACAAUUUUCUCUUAUUUAAGUUUUGGUGAAAUGAAGCCCAUCCACAUAAAAUAAUUGAUAGGAAGUGUUCAGGAGAAAAGAUCAGCCUGAUUCAAUGCCUAGGGAUGUUACAAUCAUUUUUUGUUACUAAAUAUUUUUAAAUUAGGAUAAUGUAUUAAUGGAAUAAAACUUUUUGUAAUCUGACAAUUGAUAUACAAAAACCAGAAUCCUAAUUAAAUUCAAAUAAUCAUUAUAAUCAACAUCUAUAGGAAAAAGAAAAACGAGAAGCAUAUGCAACAAAAAUCAAUUCGUGAGGGAGGAAAAUUUACCUUAAUUAUUGAUGUGUUCUCUUCAGGAAUUUUAAUCUCUUGGUACUGAACUUUAUUUUUGCUUAAUUUAUUUCUAUCUCACGAGAACUUGCUAUCAUAGAACAUAUAUAUUUUGAGAGUCGGACUAUUGACACCCCUCUAAAUUCUAUUGAAAUCCCUUUUUUAAUUAUAUUCCAUUUAAAACCAAAAAUACCCUUUUUUAAUUUAACACUCUUUUCAUUUAUGAAUUUUUUAGUUUUCUCUCUUCAAACUUUCUUUAUUAUUUAAUUUCUAAAGCAAAAAAUCUAAAAGAAAAACUAAAAGAAAAUAAUGAAUAUUUUAUGGGUUUAAUAUAAUUAUCUUACCUAUAAAUUUUGGAUUCGUUGGGUUCAAAAAUUAGUUUGAGAAUCCUUAAGAAAUUAAUUAAAUUAGGGUAAAAUUUUAUUUAAUUUAUUUUUCCACUGUGUUGUAUCUUAAUUAAGUUUUUUUUUUGUUACAAGAACUCUAUUUUGGCUUAGAGGAUUACUUCUUAAAUUCAAAUUAUUUUAAUGAUAAUAAAAAAUUUGUGCAAGCAAAAAAAAAUAAGGAGAGAACGAAAAUAUAAAUGAUUUUAAUUUUAUUUAUAUUUGUCGUUAAACGUAAUUGUAAUGUAGCAGGGGUUUUAUGAGAUUAAUGAAGGAGUGCCAAUAGUCCAACUCAUAUUUUGAUGGUAAACUUGAACAAAUUGUUUAACGGGAAAAAAAAAAAGAUUUGAAAUAAUAUUAUAUUACUGCAAGAAAAAAUGUCGGUAACUUUGAUUUGGUGUAUCUUGGGCCACGUACGUACUUAAAAUUUGGGCAAGCAUCAGGAAAAGAGAAGUGACGGUAACAAUAAAAUUAUAUUGUUGGAGGAAAAGAGAUUUCCCAACAUCCGUCCUCUGACCGACCGAUCCUACAUGAUCCCUGUUCAAAUUGGCCCACGAAUGUUCCACGUGUCAAAACUUGGCCACGUCAUCUCUCAACUGGUUAUAACGGAUGAUAAUUUGGAGGGAAAAGCUACUUACCCCGGCAUUAACCCCGAAUUCGGGCCCCGAAUAUUGGCAAAAACAGUGCGUUUUGCUUUGCUUCAAUAGUAUUCCAGCUGUGCAGCACGUGAGCAUUCUGUUUGUCUUUCUAUUUGCGCAUGAACCACAGCUUUCUGCUCAGAAUUUCCAAACUUUUUGCUUGAUGCUCUGAUCGAACCUCUAAUUAAUUAAUUUAUUUAUUUAUUCUGAGCUCAGUGCUGCUUUUACUUGCUUGCUCAAGUAAAUAUGUAUCACUUUGCUAUCAAGUGGCAUUCUUAGACAUGCAAAGAAUUAAAUGAUAUAUGAGAUGCUGCCAAUUCUCUUAUAGCUUCUUUCCUCAAUGAGUGCAGUACUCCCCCACAUUAUUCUGUCAGCAUCCUUCCUCCAUCGGCCAAAGCAUUGGCGUCGGUUUUCAUUGGGUGAAAUUUUCUUUUGCUGGGCUGUAUGCGUGAAUAUGUUGAUUUCAUUCAACUUUAGAAAAUAGUCCAACAAUGUUCAAUUGCGAUGAAGAUUGCAUUCGUAAUACUUAGAUUUUAUGAUCAUGAUUCUUUAUCUUCUUUGGUGAUAGAAAGAAUCAUGAUCAUUCCACGAUACAGAGUCAUCAUACACUAAACUAAAAUAUAAGAAAACAUUCAAAUGCUUCACCAAUCUUUCUGGUGAAGCAUUUGAAUGUUUAAUUUUCAAUUGUUCUUAAUUGUAAUUUUAUUUAAAGUGGGGAUUUUUAAGAAUAAUGUAGGGGUGCCAAUAGCUCCACUCAUGAAUUUUAGUUGAAACAAAAGUAGGCCCAUAAUUACAAAGAAAAGUAGCCCAGUAUUAUUCACAUCAUUGACAAAACUCGAAGCAGAGCACAGUUUCAAACUCGAAACAAAAUGCCAGCAUUUUGGGGGUGCAUCCAUUGCUCAAGAGUUUUUUGUUUUUAUAUGCCACAAAAGUGCUUAUUUUCCAAAUAUAUAUCCCUUCUUUCCAUUUAUUCACUUAUAUACGACAAAUUCACCUGCAUUCAAAUACACCCAUUUGUGAAUUACAAGUUAAUUUUCAUUUCUGACUCAAAAUUUUCCUCCCGCUUUCCCAAUGUUAAGGUCUCAUUGUUUCCUUGCGUGUAAUAAAGUGAAGGUGAUUAUAUAGAUUUAGACUAUCCCAAUAUUUAUUUUGAUUCCUUAAAAAAUUAAUUUAAUGGGUCUCAAAAUUAUCUUUUUAAUUGUCGUAGUUCUUGUAAAAAUUAUUCAUCAAGUAUGGCGGGGUGAGAUUUUGUGUAGUUGAAAAUUUACUCUACCACAGUCAUGUACAAAUAAAGUAAUAGUCAAGUUUUUGAGAAAUUAUUGUGUCAUAAUCACGCACAAGCCGGGUGAUCAUCGACUAAUUGAAAUGGUCAGGCACAAGUCAGGAGGAUAAUUGGGUAUGAAUCCAAGUGUCAUAAGAGUGAGAUAAAAGGUCGCGUAAUUUUUAGAUAGAGGUUGAGUAAUUAAUAAUUAUAGUCGAUGGAUAAUGGUAAGGUAAAAACUGAAAAAUGGAGAAUAAAUAUACUCUUUAAAGAUAUUUACGACUUUUUCUUAAGAAAUUAUCAUAAUAAUGGGCUUACUAUGUAUGGUGUCAUAUUUGUAGAAUUUAGGAUUUUUUUUCAUGGCGUAAACGGUGCAAUUUCUUUCCAUUGCUCGAUUUGAAACUGCAUUAUUGUCUACCGAUUUUAAAUUCCAGUGGCCAGAUUAUUUUAAAACACGUAGUUUACUUAUAAUUCGUAAUAAUAUUGAAAUUCUAAUUUAUUUUGGACACAGCUUCUUCUAGUAGCAUGCUCCCAAGUCUAAAAGUAUUAUGAAGAUCGACUUGGUGCAUAAUCCCAAGUCUAAAUGAAUUUUAAUUAAUUAAGAUUAUUCUUAUUGGUCAAGCUUUCAAGUAGAUUACACAUAUUAAUUUGUAGUAGAUUAAUUAUUUAGAAGUAAAUGGAAGGCCUAACAACUUUUUUAACAAACUGAAACAGAAUUAAAGCAGAGGAGGGAAAAAUUAAUUGUGUUUGUGCAUAAUGUAUAUGACUAACUAACUAACUACGAGUUUAGCUGCCUGCCACAUCAGCAUAUAUAACAGAUAACUAAUAUCUCUCUAAACUAUAUUUUCGCAUACAUAAAUAAAUAAAAAAUUGUAAUUAAUUGGAUACAGCUUCAGCUUUCGGACUGGUUUGUGAAAAUCGGAAAAAUUUAAAAAUGCUCCUCUUGAACAAUCAUUUAUACGUGAACAAAGGGGAUGAUUCGUAAAGAUAAUCCAUCAAUGUUUAAUUACUUUCGAGCGUAUCAGAUUACUUUCAGAAAGAAAGACUUCAUUUGAUCUCGUCAACUUAAAAACUCAGAUUCCAUUUGUAAGAGAGUACAUUGCUCUUUUUGGUGAAAAAUAGUUUAACCGAAAUCCCCUUCAUCCAAUUUUUUUCUUUUUCUUUUCUUAUUAAGAAAUAACAAAAAAAAGCAAUGUUAUUGAGAAUAAUCCAAAUAUAUAUGUAGAUUUAAACCAAUCAUAUUCACAAACCAAAUUCCCUCAAAAGCCUUAAAGGCCAGAGAAGACUUUGACUCACUAUUGUGAUUGAAAAACGUGUGUGGCGAUUAAUGUACGGGAGGAGGAUUUAACGCGGGAAGAAAAAUAGAAGACGACUAUGAGUCUGCUCAUGGUGUCCUUUUCCAGGGUUAAAAUGUUUAUAUAAACUUUGUAAGAGCUCAAUCAACCGAAAAGUUAAUUAUAAGCAUGGAUCCGGCAUCCUCCAUUUUCAGAUUGGCAACCCUUGUAUGGGUUGCAAUUUUUACAUGCGAUAACGUUGCUGUUAGAACUGGUACAUUUGUCACAGCAUCUGCUUUGUCACCCAUACAGUUAGAAACGAAAGCUUUACUCAACACUGGCUGGUGGAACAACAGCUUCUGGACGGCCACCUACUCUUCGGAUCACUGCAAGUGGACUGGCAUCACUUGCAAUUCAGCAGGAAGCAUAUUCGAGCUAUACUUAUCAGGGUAUUAUGCUGACUUCAAUUGGCGGCUUAGCCAAUUAAACUUCUCUUGCUUUCCGAACCUCGAAAAUCUGACAAUCCAGUUCUUUACUCUUACUGGAAACAUACCACCAGAAAUUAGUGCUCUUUCGAAACUCCAACAGCUGGACUUGUCCUUGAACAGACUUACAGGUAACCUACGAAAUUAACUUCAUUACCGCAUAUUAUUUACAUGCGAUAACGUUGCUGUUAGAAUUGUCACAGCAUGCAACCGUUGCCUUUCUUGAAUAUUUGUAUUGAGUAAAAUUUGGUAAGAAACAGCCUUCUUAGAAUUGUCACAGCAUGCAACCGUUGCCUUUCUUGAAACUAACAAAGGAUGAUCAAUAUAAUUGCUAAUCUUAAAUGUAUUUCGUUGGUAGUAUUUUGUAAAACUUUGGUGAGGGUGAAUAUUGGUUUCAUGAAAGCGUUACCUUUCUUGAAUAAAAAUGAAAGUAACUCUUCUAAAUUGAAAUUGGUGCUUCCAAUCUAAACUAUUAAAUCUUUAAUUAUUUUUUCUGUGCGAAUUGCAAGUGCAAAUAAGGUCAGCAAGUUUUGCUAUUGUGCUAAGUCAUAUUUGGUAUUAAUGUAUUGUAACUUUUAACAAAUAACUACUUUAGAACCAAAAUGUAAUUAUAAAAUAAAAGUUGAGAGUGUAUAAUCAAUAUAAAUUUUAACUAAUAAUUUUAACAAAAAUAUUAAAAAUAUUAUAGGCUUAUCAUUAUACAAGUGUGAGAUCAAAUCAACAAACAAGAUACUCAAAACUAACUUUCAUUAUUACAAAGAGCAAUAAAUUAAAAACAAAGGCAACAAACAAGAGACAUGCAAAUUUAGUGUGCUCUCUUUGUGUGAGGCUAAGGGUCAAUUUUGGAAUUAUUGUUCUAAUAGUCAAAAUUGAUUGUUUGAAAAGCUACAAACGUGUGUGCGUUGCUGUUCGGUAAAUUAUAUUAAUUUGACACUUAAAAAUUAAGAAAAAAAAAAAAAGAGAAUAUUGGUGGUGUCUGGCUCGUUUUAGACGUUUAGAAAUUGUUAGAAAUUGUAUAACCGUACCACAACAACUUGAGUCAUGAAUGGAAGACCGUUGAUUUGUACAUGGAAUUAUGGAUUAAUAAAAGUCUGUGCGGCUCCAUAACCAAUUUUUUUUAUUAUUUGAUUAUUUUUAUCGCCAGAAUGACACAAAAUAUAAAUUUAUAGGGUAGAAAAUAACAAAACAAAUAAAAAAAUUAUAGUACUAAUUAUUUUACAAUGGUAAUUCUGUCAAUUUGAUAGAUAAUUGAUACAAAUAGUAAACUUAAGGUGAAAAAUAAAAAAAUUGAAUAAAUUUAAAUUUUCAAAGUAUUUUUUUCUGUGUGAAUUGCAAGUGCAAAUAAGGUCAGCAAGUUUUGCUAUUGUGCUUAUUUCCAUAUUGUGGCAUGACAUGGGCUUUUCUUCUCAAUCAAAUUUUAAAAAAUAAGUAGACUGCAGAUAUAAAUGUAGACAAAUUAUUAGCCUUACUUCACAGAAGUUUCAUUGCUUGUCGUUUUGCAUUGGCACAUAAGAGUGAUCAAUUGAAUUGGAACGGCAAUGUUGAAGUUGAUAUGGUAAAAGUGAAAAUGACUAGAUAUUCCGCAAAGUCUAAAAUUCAAGAAAUUGAAGCACCAAUCAAGGGAUCAAAUUCUGUCAUGUAAUUAAUUAUCAUCAAUUGGCUUGAAGGUCAUCAAGAAGGUACUGGAUUGACAAAUUAAAUUACAUUGCUCUUUCAUAAAUGGUAAAUAAAUAAAAUAUAAGACUUAGGUCAUGUUAAGUAUUUAGGUAUUGUAAUUUUUAAGUUAUAACCAUUGUGAAACAAAAAUUGUAACUAUAAAAUAAAAGUUGGGCGUGUAUAAUCAAUAUAACUUUUAACUAAUAAUUUUGAUAAAAAUUAUAAAGAUAUUAUAAGCUUCUCAUCAUACAAGUGUGGGAUCAAAUCAACUUAAUUUUUAUAUCACAAUUGGCAGUACUUACUAUAUAAUUUUGUGCUAUAACUUAGAAAAUUAUAACUACCCAACAUCGAUACCAAACAAGACCUUAGUCUGUGAGCAUCUAUCAUUCCUUCCUUGUUUUAAAAUACUAGUCGUAUUAAGUCUUGAACUUGAAAUCAAUCUAACGGUACAGAGUUUUUUCCAAGUUCCAUUAGCACCAAAUUUUCCUUUGCUUCCUCUGUUUCUUCAGCUAAACGCCACUAAAGAUAUCAAAAUUAUUGCUUGUUUGUUUCUGGAAUUCAGCUAUCGGUAUGAUACAUCCGCUGAGACCCCGGGUGCAUUUUUUCCUGCUCAAAUACCUAAUAGUCACUAACCAACCAAUAUGAAUUCUUGAAAAAGAACCAUAAAAAAAAAAUGAUUCUUUUAUUCAUAUUUCUCCAGAGAGAAAGAAGAAACAAAUAAUUAAGAGCUGAAAUUAUGUAAUUAAAUAUGGCAAUACAUAAUAUACAAGUUACCUACGGUUGGUCACUUGUAAUAUUAUGAUACAAUUAUCUACGGUUAAUCCAUGCAUGGUUCGCUUGUAAUUUAUUGUCUUUUUAUUUUAGUUUUUCAAUUAUUAUUAUUAAUAUUUUAGUUUCUUUAGUGAAAGAGAGGAAUUAUUUAGUCCGGAAUCCUAGAAUUCGGACAAACGGUGGGUUCCAACAUAUAUGCAGUAGAUAAAUAAAGAGAGCAAAGGCUGUUGGAUUGCAAUACAGAGUUUUCUAGAUAAUUUCCUAAUAAAGUAUAUUUAUCUCAUCAUAAUUAGUUUUGGUGGUUUAUAAAUGUUGAAAGUGUAAAUUUUGAAAUUUCACCUACUUUUAAUUAAAUUUUAAAUAACCUAAGAUAAAUUUUCAUGAUCGAAAAAAGCAGAUAAUUAUUUGAGGAACCAUGUUAUGAUACAUUAUAAUGUAUCAUAUAUUAACCUAUUCCAACAACGUAAAACUUGAUUCAAUAAAACUACGAUUGAAUUUACAAAAAUAACUUUUGGAUUUGAUGCAUCAUACAUUAUCAGUAUAAAUUAUCCUAGCAACAUCCUAAUUUAAUAAUCACUUUUAGAAUAAGUUUACUAUUUAUUUUUUUGUAAAAAUAUUUUUUUUAUUCCUUUACAUACAAUAAAUAUAUAAUUUAUUCUAGCUCAAUCAAAGAUGUCUAUUCUAAAAUGAAAUAAGAUUUCAUAAUGUCGUUAUCUAAAAUUUCUGAAUUAUUUAAGAGUAAAAUUAAUAAAAUAAUUUACAUAAUUGAUUGCCAAUAAUAUUGUAAGGUUAUAUUUAUGAUAACGAUUAAUAAUCUCAUUAAUUUCUGAUAAAGUUAUAAAAAAUUAUUUAAAAAUUUAGAAAAGCUAUUACAAAUAUUUUUGUUUCUAAAGUUAAAUUUAUUUUUAGGGAGAUAAUAAUAAAGUAAUUUAGAAAAGAAAAAUGAAAAGAAAAGACGACCAUAACCAUUGGACCUUAGCGGCUAGUUUGUCAGUAAAGCAACCGAGUCAAAAUUUUCUUUAAGCAACGAAACAACAGCACAACGACUUUUGAAGAAGGUAAGUACUAAGUUAUAUGUAAUAUAAUUUACACCACUCAUUUAAAUAGUGAAUAAACUCCACAUUAUUUUUUAUUCAUGUGCAUAAGUGUGAGUUAUAUUACAUGUAACUUAAGGCUCCCUAAGCCACUCGGCCUUUGGCCGAGUGGUGAGAGCUACUGCUCUCCAAUUUGGAGAGCAGCAGUUCGAACUCCCACAAUGCAUUGCGGGGGUCUUCAUUUCUCAAGUAAAUUUGAGUGAAGGCAGUCUGCUUCCUUACCCAAGUGUGAGGAGUAGACAUCUCUCAAAUAUUUGAGAGGGUUAAAAUCUGGGCAGCGCUCCAUUAGUAUUGAUGUAUGUUGGUCCCAGUUAUAGUCUGAUUUGUAAAUAUCAGUUAUAUUCUCAUAUAAUAUGAGUUGUAAUUUGAACAAUAGUCUCGUGUAAUAAAAAAAAAAAAACUUAAGGCUCCCUUCGAAGAAUUAAAACUCACUACUGUGCGCCACGUAUCGGCCUAUGUUCCUCUUUGUCGGUUACGUCGCUCUGCUCUCAACGACCUUUGUGUUUUUCAUGUUUUAUUUUUUCGAAAGACUUAACGAUCUUUGUUUACUUUAUGUCUAAAGAGCAAGCUCUCCUCAACUCACAGCCGUUAGAUUAGAUUCUUUUAGCUAUUCGACGGCCAAAAAGGUAACAAGACUAAAAGUAAAGGGAGCCGUUGUGGGAUCCGCUUGAAUGAUGGAAACCCGACACGUCGCUAUCAAAUUUCUUUUUAAAAUAUGUGGUGGUAGUGGUAAUAACAUUAAGUCCCUAAAUUUUUGAAACAUCAUAACUAAAGACAUAUCUUGCAAAAAUAUUCAUAGAAGUCCUAUCCUUAGAAUUUGUUAAAGAAUCACAAGUAAAAUCAAUCAUUUAACAGUUAAAUGGGUGAAAAUUAAAACAGAAUCUAAUUUAAAGAUAUGUUAAUCAUGCUUUUAUCAAUCGUGUGCUAAAUUAGCGUUUUAAGCUUUUUAGCUUGGCCGAACUUGUGCCGCCCAAAAUUUUCACUAGGAAGAAUACCAUAAAUAAUCCAACCUAAACUACUACAACAGGGUCUCUGCAAAAAUAUUAUCUUUCACUUAUGACCUUUUAUUUAAAUUUUUGUAGACAUUAGGGACCUUCUUGCUAUUAUCUCAAAAGAAAUCAGGUUCUUCAAGCCUAUAAAUACAAAGAGAGUCAUUCACAGUUGCUCAUGUUAGUAUGUUACAAAACCAAAACAAGAUAUAAUUUGGAGAAAAGAAGAUUCAUAUCACAAAAUCAAAAUCUCUCACUCUUUAAGUUCUAAUACAGCGAUGGCGCAGGUUAGUAUUUGCAGAUCUGUGGCUUUGAUUCUCUUCAUUGCAGCAGUUCUCUCAAUGACAGCUGUCGGCAGUGCACAGGAUGUCGACCUGGCGCCGUCGCCGAGCAUGGACGCCGGAGCUGCGUUCCCUGUGACUGUUUCCGGUGGCUUUGUUUGCUCCUUACUCUUCUUCUCAGUCAUUGCUCUACUAUUGCAGUAAUAGGUUCUUGAGAGACUGAGAUUUUGAUUUUAUAUUUUAUAUUUUAUUUUUAUUAUUAGGAUAUUUAUUACUUUUGAAAUUUUUGGGUAUUUUUUUAAUUGCUAUUUGGUGGGAGUGCAUGUGUUUGAGUUGCUGUGAGUGAGAAUAUUGGAAAUGGAUCCGGUGCUCAGCUGAGCUUGUUCUGAGCACCGGAUCAAUGGUCAGCAAUUAUUUAGGGCCCACAUAAAGCCUAGCACAGCUAAGCAUUGGAUCAUGAUCCGAGAAUAUUAGUUUUAAUAAUCGAUUAUUUUUCCUCUAAUCUUUGGUUAGGGUAGUAUUUUCUUUUUAUUUUUUUUACGGUCUUGAUAUUAUAUUAUAUUUUAAUUAUAAAAAUUGGUAUUGUUAUUUAUCAUCUUUCAUCUCUCUUUAAUAUUCAUCGUGCUUAAUAUUGUUAGCUCCAUUUUACUUCGCUACUAAAAAUGUCCCAGAGAUCAUUUCUAUUAUAUGUAUUGUUGAUUUUAAGUAUAUUUAGUACAAAAACUAGCUGAAGGAAAUUGACUUUAAAUCAGAAAAAAAAUCUAUUUAGAUGGUUAAAAUCUAAAGUUAAUUGAAAAUCUAUUGCAAAUUAAUAAUUCCAAAUCCGUGUCAUUAUUUUAAGGCAAAAAUUUAUCAAGAAAAAUUGAACUCGGAUAGUUUUAUGUAGUUUCAUACUUUCAAUUUCAAAUGGGCUGGUUUAAUAAUUAGGAGUGGCGCUAUCGGCACCCCCCUGAUAUCCUUCUCAAACCCCUUUUCUGUUUAUUUCCUCCUUAAUUCCUAAAAUAGCCUUUAUCUGUAAUUUUUCCGCAAACAAUUUCAACCUCCUUUGGAUAACAACCAAAUAUUUUGUAUCCUAUGCGCUUAAUUUAUUAUGAGGUUUCUAUUUGUUUUAGUUUUAUACUUUUCAGUUUAUGAAAUUAUAUUUCAAAAUAAAUAUGUAUAAAAUACACUCAGAUAGUGUUUGGUUUUAAGAAAUGGGAGGAGAAGAAAAGAGUGGAAUGAAGGGGAAAGGAGAAGAGAAUAGUGAAAUUAAAUUUUAUUAUUUAGUUUGACAUAAAAUUUAAUAGAAAAAGGAAUUGUAAUUUUUUUCUUUGGACAAAUUUAUCCUUUACCUUAAAUAUUAAAUUAUCUAUAUUACUAAUAAAAUAUAAUUUAAUAUUAAUACUAAAAUUUUUUAAUUUUAAAAAGUUCUAAAACAAUUUUAUGAUUUAUAUUUAAUAUAAAAUAAUUUAAUAUCUUAAACUAUUUAAUAUUAAAUAUAAUUUAAUAUAAAUAAAAGUCGGUCAAUAUAAGUCAACGCCGGUCAACAUCGGCCGGCUAUUUUCCGACGGAAGUUCGGUGUGCCGGCGGUGGUCCGGUGAAGUUCCGGUGAAAAUUCCGGGCGAAGUGUUGGUGUACCGGCUAAGUUUCGGUGAAGGUCCGACGAUAGUUAAUUUAUAUUUAUAUAUUUUCAUAUUAAAUAAAUAAAUAAGUUUAUUUAUUUUAUUAAAUUUUUUAAAUCAUUCAUUAAAUUUGAUUAAUAUAAAAUUAUUUAUAAUAUUAAAUUGAUAAAAUAAAAUUAUAAAUAAUAAUAAUUAAUAACAUUAAAGAAGUUGAAAUGUUGAAGGGCAAUUUUGGAAACUUGUGUUUUCAACAUAAGAGGAAUUUAAAUUCUUCACUCUUUGGUGUGAAAUUUAAAUUCUACAUUAUAAGGGAUAUUAAAUUCUAAUAAAAAAUAAAUUCUUAUAUAUUUUGUGCAAUCAAACAAUGGAAAUAAAAGUAGAAUUUGAAUUACUUUCCUCUCCCCCAUUCUCUCUCCCCAACCAAACAUCCCCUCAAGGUUUAGUUAUCUCUUAGCAUUCUAAUAUCGUUCGUAAUUUAUGAAAAUUUUAUGAAAUUAUCUUUCCUACAAAAAUAAAUUGUUAAGUGAAAAAAAAUACUUCAUAUCAAAUUCUUACUCUUUACCAUUGACCUUUUUUUCCCAAAAAAAAAAUGCAACUUUUACGUGCUUUAGUGGAGAAAGAGUCAGUGAGAAAAAAUCAUAUAUGGAUUUAACAAGAUAAGAUUUUACAGCGAAUACAAUUCAGGAUACAAGGGAUAAAAUUGUAAAUGUAUAACAAGAGGGGUUUUAUAAGAAAAAUACAGGGCUGCCAAUAGUAUCACUCAAUAUUUAGACCAUCUACUUAUAUUGUAGUUUUAUGUCGUUUCAUACUUUUGAUUUCAAAUGGGCCGGUUUCAUAAUUAGACCAUCUACUUAUGUUGUAGUUUCAUACUUUCGAUUUCAAAUGAGCCGGUCUAACAAUUAGACCAUCUACUUUCAUCUGUUGAGUUUAACUGAUGAAGAAGAUACUCAAAAAUACAAACAAGAAAUUAAAAACAAAGGCAACAAGCAAGAGACAUGCAAAUUUAGAGUGCCCCUCUCUGUGUGGGGCUAAUGGUCAGUUUUGGAAUUAUCGUUCGAAUAGUCAAAAUUGAUUGUUUGAAAUUAACUACAAACGUGUGUACCUUGUUGUUCGGUAAAUUAUUUUAUUUGACUUCAGCCCGAGAUAUAUUAAUUUGGCACUUAAAAAUUAAGAAAAAAAAAGAAUAUUCUGGAUUAAACGAACUUGGAAAUUAAGAAGCUACACUUGUAAACCAAUUAUAUAGCCCGGAAAGACCUUGACUCCAAAAGAAAUCUACUUCAAUCUUUGGAAAAUUUUGAUACAAGUUCUAAAUUUUCCACGAGAUAUCCCAAAAUGUAAUUUUCAAACAAUUGUUGUUGGUGUUGUCGAGCUCGUUUUAGACGUUUAGGAAUUGUUAGAACUCGUAUAAGGACAAUGACACAAUGACACAAAUUACCAAUUUAUAGAGUAGAAAAUAACUUGUCAUGAAUAGAAGAAGACCAUUUAUUUAUACAUGGAAUUAUGGAUUAAUAAAAGUCUUUGCUCCUCGAAAACCAAUAAUUUUUAUUGAUUAUUUUAUUAUUUGAUUAUAUAUGUUGGACCAAAAAUAAAAUAAGCCUAAUAAUACCCAAAUAAAUUUAAUCACAAUAAGGCUCAUCUAAUAAAUUUUCUCUCAAUUAAACCCACAAAGUGCUGGACAAAUCACCUAAAAUGAUCUUCCUAAGUAACAAAUUUCAAAGCCCAAAAGAUGUCAACAAUACUAAUAAUAGUAUUUAAUUUUUUUUUUUUUGGUGGAUGAUUGAUACCAAUUAUAAACUUAGAAUAAAAAAAUUGAAUAAAUUUAAAAUUUUAUAUUACUUUUGAUAACAAGAUAAAUAUAAAUAGAUGACUAAUAAUUUUUCUACAAUUAAUCCUAAUUCUUCAUUUUUGAAUUUGAGUGGCCAACAAAUAAAAUUAUUUGAAAACUACUCUAUCCUGAGAGUUAUUGGUAGAUGUGUGAUUGCUAACCACCAGAAAAAAAUAACAAAAAAGAAAUUUAAUUGAGGAAAAUCAAAUAUCUAUAAAGAUUUGUACCAAUCAUGUACACAAAUCAAACUCCCUCUGAAGUGUUCUAAAGUGUAAAGACCAGAGAAGACCUUGACUCACUAUUGUGUUUGAAAACAAGUGUUGCUAUUCAACGCGGGAAGAAGAUGAUUAUGGGCCUGCUCAUGGUGUCCUUUUCCUGGGUUAAAGUGUCUAUAUGAACUUUAUAAGAACUUGCAGAAUCCAAUCAACCAAAAAAUUACAAUCAUGGAUCCGACUUCCUCCAUUUUCAGAUUGGCGGCCCUUGCAUGGGCUGUAAUAUUUACAUGCGAUAACGCUGCUGAUGGAAGUGGUACAUUUGUGACAGCAUCUGCUUUGUCACCCAUACAGUUAGAAAAGCAAGCUUUACGCAAGACAGGCUGGUGGAACAACAGCUUCAGGACGUCCAACAACCCUUCGGAUCAUUGCAUCUGGGAUGGCAUCACUUGCAAUUCAGCAGGAAGCGUGAUCGAGCUAAGCUUAUCAGAGUACGAUGUUGACCUCAAUGCGCAGGCACAGCUUAGACAAUUAAACUUCUCUUGCUUUCCGAACCUCGAAAUUCUGACAAUCCAGUUCUUUCGUCUUACUGGAAGCAUACCACCAGAAAUUAGUGCUCUUUCAAAACUCCAACUGCUGGACUUGUCCUCGAACGGGCUUACAGGUCACAUACGAAAUUAACUUCAUUACUGCAUAUUAUUUGAGCAAUCAUAUUUAAAUGGAUUAAGUUUGAGAGAAUACUGACAAAAACAAAGGUAAACCAGCCCUAUUUUAUCAUAUUAAUUGAAAAAAUGAUAAUAAUAAUUAACACGAUAAAUACAUCUGUUUGCCGUUGUUUUUACUUAUGUUCUAUCAGCGUUUAAAUUUCUUUAACAUUUUUUUUCAUUAAUUUCGUAAACUAAUGACAUAAAUGUACAAAAUAGGUAUAAUCCCUCCAGAGAUUGGGAAUCUGAAAAAUUUAAUCAAGUUGGACGUGGGCAGCAACAGCAUAAUUGGGCCUAUUCCUUCAGCUCUAGGGAGUUUGACCAAUCUGAGCAAUUUGGAUCUUUCCUCAAACAAACUUUCUGGGAAAAUUCCUCCAGAGAUAGCAAGUAUGAAGUAUCUAACCCAGUUGGACCUAUCAAAUAACAACAUACAAGGUUCAAUUCCCUGUGAGCUCACCAAGUUAUCUCAACUUGGUUAUCUCAAUCUUUCCUCUAACAAACUUUCUGGCCCAGUACCAUUUUCAAAAAAACAACUCUCAAGCAUGUACUCAGUAAGCCUCUAUCCCAACAAGGGUUUGUGCGGCAAUUUUAUUGGUCUUCCUUCAUGCCAUACGACCAAACCUGCCACUCUCUUUGUUGAAAUUUUUCUUCCCCUCACCAUAGUCCUCUCAGUCAUAGUCUUUGCAUGCUUACUACUUGCUAAACGUAAGUACAAGAAACCCAAACUCGAGGAAAGAGCAACCAAUAACAUAGAUGUAUUUUCAAUAUGGAAUUAUGAUGGUAGAAUUGUCUACGAGGAUCUGAUUGAAGCCACCGAAGAUUUUGACAUUAAAUAUUGCAUUGGUACCGGAGGCUAUGGCAGCGUCUACAAGGCACAGCUUCCCAACGGCAAGGUAUUUGCAUUGAAAAAGCUUCACACUUCAGAGGAAUUGGCGUUCAUCAAGAGUUUCCAAAACGAGGCUCAAGUGCUUUCUCAAGUACUGCACCGUAAUAUUGUUAAAUUAUACGGUUAUUGCUUGCACAGAAAAUGCAUGUUUCUCAUUUACGAGUACAUGGAGAGAGGAAGCUUGUUCUGCAAUUUACACAAUAAUGAGGACGCCGUGGAGUUGGAUUGGGCUAAGAGGGUGAACAUUGUAAAAGCCAUGGCACAUGCUUUGGCGUACUUGCAUCAUGACUGCUCACCAUCAAUUAUUCACCGCGACAUAUCGAGCAACAACAUUCUACUUAACUCAAAAUUGGAGGCAUUUGUUGCUGACUUUGGCACUGCCAGGCUUCUACACGCUGAUUCGUCCAAUCGAACUCUAUUAGCAGGAACAUAUGGAUAUAUAGCUCCAGGUUUACCCUUAUGAUAUCUAUUCUUCUCAUGAUCGAUCCUUUAUUUGGUUCAAUUUUAUUUUCUUUUACUUUAUAUUGCAGUCAUAUCCCAUAACAUCUCUCUUAAAUAGAUAGCCAGCUGGCUAGAGAAACUCACAAAUGGAAUUAUCUCCUUUAUUAGUGGGAAGCUACAUUCUAUGAUUACUUUGCCUCAUAUAAAUCUUCUUUUUUUUUUUUUUUUGUGGCAGAACUUGCCUACACCAUGGUUAUGACGGAGAAAUGUGAUGUUUAUAGCUUUGGAGUAGUGACACUUGAGGUAUUAAUGGGAAAGCAUCCAAGGGACCUUCUUUCAUCAUUGUCAUCAUCAUCUGAUCCAAAAAUCAUGCUGAUUGAUGUUUUAGACCAACGUCUUCCACCUCCAGUUGAUCGAAAGGUUAUUCGAGAUAUCCUUCUUGUUUCAACAGUUUCAUUUGCAUGCUUGCAAUCAAACCCAAAGUCUCGACCUACAAUGCAAUCCGUGUCUCAAGAAUUUCUCAUCACUCGCAAGACUCCAUUGGUAAAGCAUGCUGCUAUUCAAGAUAUUUCCAUCUCAGAACUUAGAAACUAAUAGAGGAUGUAUUUGAUUGAUCAAUAUGAUUGCUAAUCUUAAAUGUAUUUCAUUGAUAGUAUUUUGUAAAUCGUUGGUGAGGGUGAAUUUUGGUUUCAUGAAACCGUUACCUUUCUUGAAUAAAAAUGAAAGUAACGCUUCUAAAGUGAAGUUGGUGCUUCCAAUCUAAACGAUUACAUCUUUAAUUAUUUUUUCUGUGCGAAUUGCAUGUGCAAAUAAGGUCAGCAAGUUUUGCUACUGUGUUAGGAAAUCUUCUUCCACUCACAUUAUUUUUAUAAAUUAAUAUCGUGUGCAAUAUCUGCCUCUCGUUAUCAUCUUUCAACCGGACAAAUAAAUAAUCAUAACAAAUAGCAAUAAUUAUUGUAACUCAUGAGUUCACUGAACAGUAAAUCAAAGUGGGAAUAUUUCCAUAUUGUGGCAUGACAUGGGCUUUUCUUCUCAAUCAAAUUUUAAAAAAAAUUGGAUUCUCUAUUUCACUAUUUAAUUAAGUAGACUGCAAAUAUAAAUGUAGACAAAUUGUUAGCCUUGCUUCACAGAAGUUUCAUUGCAUGUCGUUUUGCAUUGGCGCAUAAGAGUGAUCAAUUGAUUGGAACGGCAAUGUUGAAGUUGAUCUGAUAAAAGUGAAAAUGACUAGAUAUUCCACCAUGUCUAAAUCCAAGAAAUUGAAGCACCAAUCAAGUGAUCAAAUUCUCUCAUAUAAUUAAUUAUCAUCACUUGGCCUGAAGGUCAUCAAGUAGGUACUCGGUUGACAAAUUAAAUUAGAUAGUUCUUUCAUAAAUGGUAAGGAAAUAUAACCUAAGAUUUUGGUGAUAUUUGGUAUUAAGUUAUUAUAACUUUUAAGCAUAGUCAUUGUGGAACAAAAUUAUAAUUAUGAAAAAAAUUGAGAGUACAUAAUCAAUUUAACUUUUAACUAAUAAUUUUGCCAAAAAUAAUAAAGAUAUUGUAGGCUUCUCAUCUUACAAGUGUGAGAUCAAAUCAACUUAACUUUUAUACCACAAUUGACAAUACUUAGUAAAUAAUUUUGUGCUGUAACUUAGAAAACUAUAACUACCCAACAUCGAUACCAAAUAGGACUUUAUUCUGUAAGCAUCAAUCAUUCUUUCCUUGUUUUAAAAUACUAGUCGUAUUAAGUCUUGAACUUGAAAUCAAUCUAACGGUACAUAGUUUUUUCCAAGUUCCAUCAGCACCAAAUUUUCCUCUGCUUCCUCUGUUUCUUCAGCUAAACGCCACUAAAGAUUUCAAAAUUAUUAGCUGUUUGUUUCAGGAUUUUAGCUAUCGGUAUGAUACAUCCGCUGAGACCCCGGGUGCAUUUUUUCCUUCUCAAAUAUUGAAAGACUCAACGAUCUUUCUUGAGUUUGUGUCUAAAGAGCAAGCUCUCCUCAACUCAUAGCCGUUAGAUUAGAUUCAUUUAGCUAUUCGACGGUCAAAAGGUAACAAGACUAAAAGUAAAGAGAGCCGUUGUGGGAUCCGCUUCAAUGAUGAAACCUGACAUGUCGCUAUCAAAUUUCUUUUAAAAUAUGUGGUGGCAUUUAUUUUUUAACUUAAUGACUUAAAGUGACUUAAUUUAAUUAAUUAAGUUAAUUAGAGGUGUUUAUUUUUAUAACUUAAUGAGACUUUUUAGAUAAUUUUGACUUAAUAAAAUAAUCUAAUUUUUUUUGACUUUUUACUUAAUGGAGAAAUUUGAAUUAAGUCAAUUACUUGCUAAUGUCAAAAAUAUCCUUGUUUUAUAAUUUAUUUUUCAUGUGUAUUCCAAAACUCACCCAUAGAUAUUUAACCCACAUAAAAAUAUCCAUGUUUUUUAUUUCUUAUAUUAUAUACGAUAAAAUUUGAAAUUUAUGGUAUUUUAUAUAUUAAAAUUUCAAAAUAAUUAUGUACACUUGAAUAUAGUUUUACUGAUAAAUAUUAAAAUAUUAUGGUAUUUAAUAUAUUAUUUAUUUGACAUUCAAAUUUAAUAAGGAUAUAAAUGUAACAGUAUAUAUUUUCGGCUUUUUAAGUUGAAAAAAAUAAAUAAUUUAAUACUUAUUUUUCGAGAUUCAGACGAAAAAACAAACAUAUUAUUUAAAUUCAGACAUUCAAAUAUAUUUAAAAUUCAGAUUAAUUCAAGUCUAUUCAAAUUUCAGAUAAAAAAACAAACGCCACUAAUUUAGUAGAAUUUGUGCCGCCCAAAUUUUUCGCGAUAAAAAACACGACAAACAAUUCAACCUAAAGUCCUAAACUACUACAACAGGGUCUUUGUAAAAUAUAUUAUCACUUAUGCCCCUUCAUUUAAAUUUUUCUAAACAUUAGGAACCUUCUUGCUAUUAUCUCAAAAGAAAUCAGGUUCUUCAAGCCCAUAAAUACCAAGUGUCAUUCACACUCUACUCAUAUUACAAAACCUAAACAAGAUAUAAUUCGGGGGGGGGGGGGGGGAAAUCAUAUCACAAAAUCAAAGUCUCUCACACUCUUAAGUUCUAAUACAGAGAUGGAGCAAGCUAGUAUUUGCGGAGCUGUGGCUUUGAUUCUCUUCAUUGCAGCGCUUCUCUCAAUGACAGCUGUCGUCAGUGCACAGGAUGUCGACCUGGCGCCGUCGCCAAGCAUGGACGCCGGAGCUGCGUUCCCGGUGACUGUUUCAGGUGGUUUUGUUUGCUCCUCACUCUUCUUCUCAGUCAUUACUCUACUAUUGCAGUAACAGGUUCUUGAGAGACUUGAGAGACUCAGAUUUUUAUUUUAUUUUAUAUUUAUUUUUAUUUUUAUUAUUAAGAUAUUUAUUACUUUUGAAAAUUUUGGCAAUUUUUUUAAUUGCUAUUUGGUGGGAGUGAGAAUAUUAGUUUUAAUAAUUCGAUUAUUUUUCCUCUAAUCUUUGGUUAGGGUUGUAUUUUCUUUUUAUUUUUUUUACGGUCUUGAUAUUAUAUUAUAUUUUAAUUAUAAAAAUUGGAAUUAUUAUUUAUCAUUUUGCAUCUCUCUUUAAGUAUAUUUAUCAUUGGGCUAUUAUAAGUAUUGUUAAUUUUAAGUAUAUUUAGUACAAUCGACUUUAAAUAAGAAAAAAAAAUCUAUGUGGGUGGUUAAAAUCUAAAAGUUAAUUGAAAAUCUAUUGCAAAUUAAUAAUUCAAAAUCCGUGUCAUUAUUUUAAGGCAAAAAUUUCUCAAGAAAAAUUGAACUGGGAUAGUUUUAUGUAGUUUCAUACUUUCAAUUUCAAAUGGACCGGUUUAGU
rnacentral:lncRNA from 1 species